UCCGGAGGAUCCAAGCGUUAUCCGGAUUUAUUGGGUUUAAAGGGUGCGUAGGCGGCCUGUUAAGUCAGGGGUGAAAGACGGUAGCUCAACUAUCGCAGUGCCCUUGAUACUGAUGGGCUUGAAUGGACUAGAGGUAGGCGGAAUGAGACAAGUAGCGGUGAAAUGCAUAGAUAUGUCUCAGAACACCGAUUGCGAAGGCAGCUUACUAUGGUCUUAUUGACGCUGAGGCACGAAAGCGUGGGGAUCAAACAGG
rnacentral:rRNA from 1 species